rnacentral:rRNA from 1 species
UACGUAGGGUGCGAGCGUUGUUCGGAAUCACUGGGCGUAAAGCGCGUGUAGGCGGCCCACUAAGUCUGAUGUGAAAGCCCGAGGCUCACCCUCGGAAGUGCAUUGGAAACUGGUGGACUCGAGUCCCGGAGAGGAGAGUGGAAUUCCUGGUGUAGCGGUGAAAUGCGUAGAUAUCAGGAGGAACACCGGUGGCGAAGGCGGGUCUCUGGGCCGAUACUGACGCUGAGGAGCGAAAGCGUGGGGAGCGAACAGG